UCUAAGAAUGACCCCUACUGACACCCC
rnacentral:piRNA from 1 species